CGCGCCGGGUAUCGUUUCUUUCUAGUGCCCGAGGCAGCUCUGGCUCGGAGGGUGGUUUGUCAGCUCCACGGGGACCUCUGUGCACGGAUGGACCCGCCCGGACCCGGCGGGAAGCGGCCUGGCAGGCGGCGGCCCCGGCAGCGUCAGCAGAGGCAGGACAGGGCCGAGGUCGCGGGUCCCUGAGGCGCGCGGGCUCACCGGGCCCGGCCGCGGCACCAUGAUGCCGGGCGAGACCCACUCGGCGGCGCCCGGGACGGCGGCGGACCUCUCACGCUGUCAGGGCUGCGCUUCCCUGCAGCAGAAUUUAAAUGAAUAUGUUGAAGCAUUAAUUACCCUGAAACAAAAAAUUAUUAAUACAGAUAAUUUGUUGACAGAAUAUCAGAAGAAAUGUGAUGAGCUGCAGUUUGCAAGAAGAGAGAAUAUUACUCUGCAUCACCAAGUGGAACAGAUGCUUCAAAAAAUUUCUCCUCUGCAGAAGUGUCAGGAAGAACUGGGAUCUUUAAAAGCAGAGUUAGAAGAGAAAAAGAGUUCUCUGAAGUUGUAUCAGGAUACUCAUCAGGAAUAUGCUCGUGUGAAAGAAGAAUGCUUGAAAACUGAUGCUCAGAAGAAGAAACUAGAAGCCAAGGUGAAGAAGCUGGAAGAGGCUGCUGUCAAGCAAACUCAGGACUUCAAGCAACUAAGGAAUGAAAAGAAAAUACUUGAAAAGGAAUUUAGGAAGACACAGGAAAAGCUUGAUGAAUUUUCUAAACAGAAAAAUGAAAAGGAGUUGAGACAUAUUGGAACACAAAUUUCAAGUGAUUCUUAUGGAAGCAUCGAUAAAAGAAAAGUAAAACUACUUCUGAAGGAACUCUGGCUCUGUAUAAAUACAACACACAGACUACCUGGUGAAGGCAGCAGAUGUGUCCCAGAAAAACCUGCCAAAGAAAACCCCAGAUACUUAGAGUCCAGGGAGGAUGGUGUGCCCCCUCCAGCAGGGGGUAGCCCUCUCAGGACCUCAGCUGUGCAGACGUGCCUGGCAGAGCUGUCCAUGGAGAUAGAGGGCGACUUCUCUGCGUGUGAAGACGCGGGGAGAGAGAGGCUGGGUGGAGCAGCUUGCCGUGACAAUGGUGUCUUUAAAGAGGACCGGAAUCCUGAGGCUGUAACGCAGAGGAAUGAGGAUGACCGUGCUGACUUUUCUGAUCAUGAUCAUUCUUUUGAUGAAGAUCUUCAGGCUGCCGUCGACUUCUUCAAGCUGCCCCCUCCUCUUCUGUCCCCGGUGCCCUCACCCCCUCUGCUGUCGUCCCCACACCUGGGUGCAUUUCCGUCCUCACUCUCACCCGAAAUCUACUUUGGAGAGUGUACAGAUUCCAGUGAUCAUGAUUCAGCCCAACAUAGGAAUUCUGAGCCUGUUUCAGAAGAUGAUACACCAGAAUUGCUGGAUUGUUUUAGCUCAUCUGGAAAAAGUAAAGGAACUGGAACAUGGGAGGAAAAGCUCCAGCCACACGAAGCCACCCAAGCUCUAAAUACAUUGGAAGUCAGUGAGGUGACAGCGGUUGGGUUUGGGACAUUUACAGCAAACCUGAGAGAACCUGCAGCCACGUUCCCCUCCGCUCAUGAGAAACACUGGACGGUGUCAUCUGAGUUCGUGAGCAAGGGAGAAAGAGGCAUUUUGGAUGAGGCAGGAAGACAGAGACAGGCUUGGGAGAUGGAUGGGUCAGUGCAGACAGAGAAGACACGUCCUGAACCCACGGGCAGCGGGCGUGUUGAGCAGCUCUCGAGCGGCCUGCCUGUAGAGGAGGGCACGGCUCUUGGGACGUCAGACUCAUGUCAUCCUACCCUGGGCCCGUGGCCAUCGAAUGAGCCCAGCGCACCUGAAGGAAAAACCCUAGUGUCCAGAGUGAUAGGAUCACCUAAAUUAGAGGUGACCAAGUGGACACUGACUGAUGGAGUCACUUCAGCAUCAGGUCGUCUGUCCACUUCUGGUCAUUUUCAGGGACUGUCUGGAGAAUUGGAGAAGGAAAGAGAAGCAAUGCGAGGGUUCAUUUCGGGAGACCCUUCUGCCCCAGGGGCAGCAGGGGCCGCGCUGGUUGCCGCGGUGCUCGGUCUGGGAGAGGAGUUGUCUUCCCCCGUGGCCUCAUCUCUCUGCGGUCACCCCCGGACUCCCUCUGGGUUGGAGGAUGACGCUGAAACAUCUGUUCCUACUGAAGUAGGCCCUCCCGAACUGCAUCGUUUGGAGCAGAAAUCACAAGCUGCCAUGUUCACCAUACUAGAUGUACAUUCUGAGCCCCCGGAGUGUCCCAUAGGAGAAGGCCAUCUGGAGAACAGCUUACAUGCUCUGAGCCCAGUGUCGGGGGCAUCUGAUUCUAAUGGUCAGAGGGGCAGCGAGGUGGGGUGUACGACCCUUGUGAAGGGCAUGAACGAUAUCUGCUCACUCCUGCAGUCAGGAUUCUCGGGAGCCGCCAGAGGCGGGCCAGGUGAAAGGCAAGGUCCGAGGGUCGAGCUCACGCCGAGUCGGUCAGGUUUCACAUCGUCGGCAGGGCCUCAGUCUGGCUUGAUCAGGAGUGGCUUUGGCUUUGGUGAAAGCACUUUGUGGCACCACAGUGAUCUGUUACAGCGAAGUGGUGAAGAAAGGCUGGGACCUCAACCUGAACGUGAACAAGAGGCGGCGGCGUCCUCAGAAAGCAGAGGAUCAGCACCCAAGCCUGAACGUGCUGGAGAGGAUAACAGUUCUGCAGGAUUCAGGGCGCCUGCAUCCUUGUUGCCUAACCAGGUGUCAGUUAUCACCAAGCAGGCACGGCCUGAAACCAUGCAGGGCGCACGAUGGGAACCCUCGAGACUGUCUAGGAGGGAGCCCCCCUUAGUGACAGACGUUGAUAAUGGGGCUGGUCGGACACCAUCUGGAGCAAGAUGUGGGGAGAGAGCGCCCACAGCACCGAGAAGCAGGGAGGCAGCUGCUAUAGAGAACACUGCCCUGGGAGUUUCCUCCUCCUGGAGAAAAUCAGACUUUGAUUCUCCAGGGGUUUCUUUACCAGUAGAAAGUUCCCAUUAUCCCACAGAUAGUACAUUAUCUUUCUCUUCUGACAACAUCCUGGUCCCAAACCAAGACAUUGUGACGGAAGCCACAGUGCAGGAAGAGGUGCAGGAGCAGAGCCCGUGUCUUCCUGCCACAAAUGUGGACACGUCCAGGCUGGAUGUGGAUAAACUUCCAGCCACGGAGGUGACGCUGUCAAGAGGUUUUCCUGUUGGAGACACAGUCAGAGCCUCUGGGGAGGCUCUGGCCGUUACAAUGGACCCGUCUGUUGUACAGCACGGCCCAAAGGAGCAUCCGCAGCUGCCGUCUCACAUUCCCGGGGGUGCUUCUCCUGAAGCUCUAGACACCACAGAGACUGCUUUUUCACCAGCGUUUGGCAGCAAAGAUGAGGAGAAAUGUGUUGUCCCGCAGAGCAGCCUCACUGGUGCCCUGUACUGUUACACGGGCAUCCGCGAGGCAGGCGGAGGUGACACUGAGGUAGAAGAGGGUGACGCGCCAAGCUGCAGUGAGGGAGAGAACGAUCCCGAAGCCGGGCUGGAGGGCGGCCAGCAGAGUGCUGGUGGGGCCUCCGGACGAGGCAUGGGGGCUGCCAGCGCCGGUGCGGCCGAGACCAGACCUUCCGUCGAGGUGGGGUGCCUGACCUCGGCUCUGCGGGACUGUAACCUCAGCGCGCUCUCCGAGACAGACGGACUUUCCACGUCCGAGGUCGUGAUGUUUCUUGAAAGUUGUCAGUUAAGAGAUUAUAGUUCAGGGGACUCUGUUUCAGAAUGUUCUAACAAGGGAGCCCUAAAUAAAGGGAUGAACAAGGAAUUAAAGCAAAGUGAACCGUCAGGAGAAAAGUACAGAAAGCAACUGUGUGAAGAGGAAACACUAGAAACCUCUGAGGAGUGCGUCGGCUCCUCGGAGGAAGACGACUGUCUUUUAAGGGACAUGAGGCGGCGGCUUGCUCAGCACUCCCUGGAGACGCUGCCUGAGGUGCUCACCAGGAUCCACCAGGAGCUGCAGCCCGACCGGGAGGACGCUGGUGGGAAGGAUGCUGGUGAGUUACAGCUCUUAAAUGCACCUGACAGCGUCACAGCGGAGCAUGAGAAAGAGCAAGUUCUGCCUCUGGAAACAGCCGGCUCCUCUUCACCCCUGCCGACGGCCGGCUCGGACACUCAGGGCAGUUCUCCCACUAGUGGUGGACCUGGACAUGAAAACAUGCAGAGCAGAUCUGCGGGUAACUUGGAUGCGAUCAGGCCAGUGGAUGGUAAGGAAGAGGCCUCGUCAGAACCCCCGGAGCCCUUGCCCCUGUGCGCUGCCCCGGGAGUGGGGCCAGGGGAAGUGGCGUUUCAGUGUCAGAUCUCUACAGUGACUUCCGAGGUUAUAAACGUGCUGAUAAAUAAGGAUCAGAAUCUAGUCAUUGAGAAAGGGGACAACUGGACCAUCAUCAAUGGGGUAGCUCUCAUGCCAGAAGUGGACCAGGUUAUCCUGUGUGACGCCCCUGAAGAUGCCCCUGUUUCCCCGGAUCCAGAAGGGCUGGCAGCUGGUUUCAUUCCACUUCCUUCCGUGGAGAAGUCCCCAGAGACCGGUCGCCCCGGCCCUCCUCCUCAGGAGCCCCAGUGUGGCAGUAGUGUGGCCGGAACCCAGGGCGAUAUUUCAAGCAGCGGUCAGAGUACUAACUUUGAUAAAAGUCGUUUACGGAAUAGACCCGUUAAGCCCAGCGUGAGGAUUAGCUCUGAGAUUUAUGAUCAGAACUUUGAGACUCAGACGGUUCCUUCUGAUCACACGUACUAUAAUUCGAAACUAGAGCCGCUGAGCAAAAAUAAGAAUCGAUCAAAGAUUUCAAACAGAGAUCAGACAAACAAACCAGUGAAGAUGUUAGCGUCGAGCAGAAUGGAGACUACUCAGAAUGAAGUUUCUCCGUCAUUUUCUGGAGAAAGAGGGAACGGAAAAACUCAGAGAAGUCAAACGCAGACCAUCCUAGCCAGCGCCGACACGUCCACUCCUGCGGACUGCUGUGUGGACACGCUAAGUAAGAUCCGGCAGGAGGUGGGCCCCCCCCUGCCCCCGUUGCUGGCUCCUCUGAUAGCCACGCCUCCGAGGACUUCACAGCCAGCCUCUCCACUGACGUCAAGUUCCAGCCCCUGCUCACCCGUCUCUCCCCACGGCCCGAUCUCUCCGCCGUGUGAGAUCCCGGUGUCGCCUAUGGUGUCCCCCUUGCUGGAGGAGCCGGGGCACUCCUCUCCUCCACAUGCAUCCCCAUCCACCGCCCCGGCCAAUGACAGGGUCUUGUCAUCUCCUUUGCAGUUUUGUGCUGCGACCCCAAAGCACGCCGUCCCCGUGCCCGGCCGCCUGCCCCCGUUCGCCUCUGCCCAUCCGGCAGUGGCAGUGCCCCAGGAGAAUUCCGUGAAGAUCCUGGACACCAUGUACCCAGAGCUGUCUGCCAGGGCCCGCACCCUCAGCAUCCUCAAAGGGAACAUUCAGCUUAAGCGAGGCCCGCCGGCCGACUCCAAGAACCUACCGGGGCCCGCCAGCGCCAUCAGGGGCUUCAAAGCCAUCACUUCAAGCUCAACCGCCUUUGUGAAAGCAGGGGGUAGCUCUGGUGGUGACUGUACGCAGGAUAAGUCGAGAGAUCCAGAGCCUCCGCAGUGUUCAGGUGGGAAAAGGGCACUGUCAGCGGGCACACCGAGGAGUGCUAAGAGGUUGCGCCUGGACAGCGGGUCCCCGGAGCCAGAGCCCCCCUCAGAGGGUGUCAGCAGGAGCCCCCAAAGGAACCCCUCCCAGGCUGCAGCUGUGAGGACAGAGGAGGAGGGGCGUCGUCUUCUGGCCGUCAGUACAGUCUCACAGUCACCCCUGAGCCCCAAGGAAGCCGUGGAGUCCUAUGACAGAGCUGUAGCGGAGGCUCUGAAGAAGAUCGCAGAGUCGUCCUUUGACCUGUUACCUGUCAUUCGCAGUCAUGUGUAUGUGGGAAACAUCUCCAAAAAGCCUGUGAUGAGAGAUCAAGAGAAAGAAGUUGUUUAUGAAUUUAGCACAACAAAAAAGGUUGCAUUUCAGAAAGCCCAAAGAGCAGUACAGCCUUUAGCAGAGUGCUUGCUUCACUCUAUUCUCUCAGAACUGAAAAUUCAGAAGAUGUCUGUGGAGCACAAUUACAUCCACGCCCUCUGCAGAGUGUAUGUGGGUAUUUGUCGGCAGCUGGGAGACUUGGAGAGAGCUCGCUUGUUUUGCUACAGUCUACUUAAGGAAGAUUUUCCAGAGUCUGAAAAAUUGACUUUGUUCAUUGCAAACAUGUGGCAUGAUAUAUUUAUCUCUCAAUCGGUGAUUAAUAAGGCAAUGCAGUUGGUAGCCAGGCAACGCGCUAAAGGAGAAGUUUUGAACUGUUUGCGAGCUUUCCUCAAUUGGGAGAAGAAUGCUCCUGCAGAUGUUGGCUUCAUGGUUUCUAAGCUGCUUUUGACCAUACAGUUAUGUCCAAAAACAGAAUUUCAGUCCAGUGAAAGAUUUGGUGAAGACCUAAGUGAUAACACCUGGGAGUACAUAUGUGCCAUUGAUCUGCUCUGCUGCCAUCAGAAGUGGGUUUGGACACAUGACAACAUUAUAAGUAAGGAGCUGUGGCCUGUAAUGGAUAAGUGGAUAAAAUACAGAAAAGGACAUGCAAACAUUGCAUACACUCCUGAUAUUAUCAUAGCAUCAAUACUGAGGCUCAUUGAGAUGAGGCUGAUGGACUGGGUCACAUCUAAGCCUGUGGGCUGUUUGUACUAUUGAGAGAACAUGGACACAGAACAGUGAGCAUGCAGGAUAAUGUUGUCAUAAGAGCACAGGAAGAGGACUUGGGUAAGACGGCAUCCAAGGUAUGUCUCAGAAUCCUCCUCCUCUGUAACAGCCGGGGCAAAAGGGCAUGAGGCCUGGCCAUGAGGGAGGUGCAGAGGCUUCCGCUUUGAAGCAAGCUGGUUUCCACAGGACCAUUGGAAUAAAGGAGGGUCCAGAUGGGUGGGGACUAGGCGAGGAGUGUUGUCCUGUUUAGUCCCCUAGUGAGACCCCCAAAGAGGUUUUGUCACUCCAGGUUUUAUGUGUCAAUUAUUGUACUAGAAAUUAAAACUAGGAGUUUAAAAAAAUGUUACUAUUCACUUAAGAUUAAUAGUAAUAAACUAAUGUUAAUAUAAGUGAUAUUUUUAAUGAAAAAUAACUAUUUCCAAAACAAACAAAAAUAAGAGUGAGCAGAAUGGAACAUUAUCUUACUGCAAACCUCUUGACUAUCUAGAUUCAUAGAAGGGCUGGUUUCCCAUAGCUGCUCUGCAUUCAGUCUCUGGCUGUAUGUUGUUUUGGUUGAAGUAUUUGGAGAAAGUCCAGUCUCAUACAGAUGUGUAGUUGAUUAAAGGAGUGUUUUAAUAGCCCGUUCAAGUAAAUGUGGAUAUUCUUCUUUGACACUGCAGUGCAACUCAACAAGUGAUGAUUUCUUAAAGGUUAGUUGCAGUGUGAAAUCUGAAACCUCAUCAGUGAACUUCGCUUCUCUGUUGCACCAGAGUCCCUUGGUCCACCUGACUUGUUGAAGGGAUCUUUUGCCCAUUCAUGAUUUUGUAACAUGUACUGCUCACUUGGAAAAUACUGAUCUGUACAGAUCUUCCAUAUGUCAACAAUAUCAAGAAAACAGACAUUAAUAUCAUCACUGAUCUCAUCAGAGAAAUCUGAAGUAUUUGAAGCUGUCAAGCUUAGGGUAGGUGAUGGAAGUUUUUCCAAAAUUCUAAUUUUGCUUAAGAGCUCAAAUUUUAUCAUUGACAACAAUGAUUUCCUUGCAGUGACUGGUUCACUUUUCUCAUUUUUGAGAAAAUGUCUGUCUCGGUCUAAAUAGCCAUAGUUUGUCAGUGGUUCUUUGAGUGAAAAGUGGGUGGAGAAAGCACCCAGUUCCCCUCCCAGCUGAAGCAGCUGCACAGGUGCUUUUCCUGGAGAGAGUCGGGGUGCCGAGGUGCCAGGGGUGUGCUUCACGUGCCCUUCCUGUCCCAUCCGUGGAAGAUCGCAGAGCCGUGUGCUUAGGGGUCUGGAUUUCAUAAGAAUCAUUGUUACCGUUUCAUGAAGGACAUUCUGAAUGAGUUAGCUUUUCCGACUGUGAGCUCCUGGCCAUGGAGAGUGACCCCCAUGUCACUGCCCUGACUGGUGCUGAGGGUCCACUAGUUUGAUCGCCACUGCCUUUGCACUGUCAGGCCACAUCUCAGCACUGGAAGGAAAGCGCAUCACUUCUUAGUGUCGUUGGGAAAGCAAAGUUUUGACCUUGAGGACCCCGGGGGUUUAGUAGAGCACACUUGGGAGCGGCUGCUCUACGUGAGGACGGAGGUUGUGUUAGCCAACUACAUUGUAACAGCAAACUGUGUCUUAUAUUUAGUCCGUUAACCCACAGAAGUUAGUCAUUUCACACUGAGCCUGCUAAAACCAUUCAUUCUGCUAAAUUCCAUUUAUUACAUGAUAACUGGGGAAGCAACACAUUGUGUAUCUGUGUAUCAUCUGUAUGUGUGAGUGACAGAAGAGAUGACGAAUCAUUCAGUCAGAACAGCCCCCCACCCCGGGACGGAUGGUGCUGUAUUGAGUCCUGAUGCUUUACUGUUUAAUUUGUUUUCAUUUAAGAAUAGGUACCCAUCUAACUUCAGUUCAGGAUCCUGAAGCUUAAUGUACAUGCUAAACGAAAGAAAACGUAAGUUUUAAAUUCUUAUGAAAAGUUAACAUUUAACCACAGAUUGUUUACAUUUUGUUUUGUUUUUUUUUUCCCCCCUAGGUCGUUUAGGCCAGUUGGGUUUGAAGGAAGGGUUUCCAUCAGCUGUGAAAAACAUUAGUGCAGUUAUUGGUAUGUUUAUACAGCAUGCCCAGGAUGAAGACAUACCAUGGGGUAUCCAGCUGGCA